rnacentral:rRNA from 1 species
UGGGGAAUAUUGGACAAUGGGCGAAAGCCUGAUCCAGCCAUGCCGCGUGUGUGAAGAAGGUCUUCGGAUUGUAAAGCACUUUAAGUUGGGAGGAAGGGCAGUAAGCGAAUACCUUGCUGUUUUGACGUUACCGACAGAAUAAGCACCGGCUAACUCUGUGCCAGCAGCCGCGGUAAUACAGAGGGUGCAAGCGUUAAUCGGAAUUACUGGGCGUAAAGCGCGCGUAGGUGGUUCGUUAAGUUGAAUGUGAAAGCCCCGGGCUCAACCGGGGAACUGCAUCCAAAACUGGCGAGCUAGAGUAGGGCAGAGGGUGGUGGAAUUUCCUGUGUAGCGGUGAAAUGCGUAGAUAUAGGAAGGAACACCAGUGGCGAAGGCGAACACCUGGGCUCAUAAUGACACUGAAGUGCGAAAGCGUGGGGAGCAAACAGG